rnacentral:rRNA from 1 species
CGUAACGUGGGUAACCUGCCUUAUAGUGGGGGAUAGCCUUUCGAAAGGAAGAUUAAUACCGCAUAAGAUUGUAGUAUCGCAUGAUAUAGCAAUUAAAGGAGCAAUUCGCUAUAAGAUGGACCCGCGUCGCAUUAGCUAGUUGGUGAGGUAAUGGCUCACCAAGGCGACGAUGCGUAGCCGACCUGAGAGGGUGAUCGGCCACAUUGGGACUGAGACACGGCCCAGACUCCUACGGGAGGCAGCAUG